GAGUGUUGUGUAUACUUAUAGAGAACAUAUGGUAGAUUGAGGACCAUAAUGAUUAAUGACAUGUAGCAGCAUUAUGCAUUUAUAAUAGUAGCACUUUUCUUCGUUAGUCAGGGGUCUCAAGACUUUAAAUCGUUUGUUUCUUUUCAGCUACGGGCAAGUUGAAUUAAACAUCCAUGCAGCUUACAUGUGUUGUCCCGUGACAUGCAUAUAUCAUCCACCUUGCUUUACA
rnacentral:lncRNA from 1 species